rnacentral:rRNA from 1 species
GGGUGAGUAAUGCUUGGGAAUCUGCCCAAUAGUGGGGGAUAACGUGUGGAAACGCACGCUAAUACCGCAUACGUCCUACGGGAGAAAGCAGGGGACCUUCGGGCCUUGCGCUAUUAGAUGAGCCCAAGUCGGAUUAGCUAGUUGGUAGGGUAAAGGCCUACCAAGGCGACGAUCCGUAGCUGGUCUGAGAGGAUGAUCAGCCACACUGGGACUGAGACACGGCCCAGACUCC